AAAUUGAAGAGUUUGAUCAUGGCUCAGAUUGAACGCUGGCGGCAGGCCUAACACAUGCAAGUCGAACGGUAACAGGAAGCAGCUUGCUGCUUCGCUGACGAGUGGCGGACGGGUGAGUAAUGUCUGGGAAACUGCCUGAUGGAGGGGGAUAACUACUGGAAACGGUGGCUAAUACCGCAUAACGUCGCAAGACCAAAGAGGGGGACCUUCGGGCCUCUUGCCAUCAGAUGUGCCCAGAUGGGAUUAGCUUGUUGGUGAGGUAACGGCUCACCAAGGCGACGAUCCCUAGCUGGUCUGAGAGGAUGACCAGCCACACUGGAACUGAGACACGGUCCAGACUCCUACGGGAGGCAGCAGUGGGGAAUAUUGCACAAUGGGCGCAAGCCUGAUGCAGCCAUGCCGCGUGUAUGAAGAAGGCCUUAGGGUUGUAAAGUACUUUCAGCGGGGAGGAAGGUGUUGCGGUUAAUAACCGCAGCAAUUGACGUUACCCGCAGAAGAAGCACCGGCUAACUCCGUGCCAGCAGCCGCGGUAAUACGGAGGGUGCAAGCGUUAAUCGGAAUUACUGGGCGUAAAGCGCACGCAGGCGGUCUGUCAAGUCGGAUGUGAAAUCCCCGGGCUCAACCUGGGAACUGCAUUCGAAACUGGCAGGCUUGAGUCUUGUAGAGGGGGGUAGAAUUCCAGGUGUAGCGGUGAAAUGCGUAGAGAUCUGGAGGAAUACCGGUGGCGAAGGCGGCCCCCUGGACAAAGACUGACGCUCAGGUGCGAAAGCGUGGGGAGCAAACAGGAUUAGAUACCCUGGUAGUCCACGCCGUAAACGAUGUCUACUUGGAGGUUGUGCCCUUGAGGCGUGGCUUCCGGAGCUAACGCGUUAAGUAGACCGCCUGGGGAGUACGGCCGCAAGGUUAAAACUCAAAUGAAUUGACGGGGGCCCGCACAAGCGGUGGAGCAUGUGGUUUAAUUCGAUGCAACGCGAAGAACCUUACCUGGUCUUGACAUCCACAGAAGAAUCCAGAGAUGGAUUUGUGC
rnacentral:rRNA from 1 species